UACGUAGGGCGCAAGCGUUAUCCGGAAUUAUUGGGCGUAAAGAGCUCGUAGGCGGUUUGUCGCGUCUGCCGUGAAAGUCCGGGGCUCAACUCCGGAUCUGCGGUGGGUACGGGCAGACUAGAGUGAUGUAGGGGAGACUGGAAUUCCUGGUGUAGCGGUGAAAUGCGCAGAUAUCAGGAAGAACACCAAUGGCGAAGGCGGGUCUCUGGGCCGAAAUUGACGCUGAGGAGCGAAAGCGUGGGGAGCAAACAGG
rnacentral:rRNA from 1 species